rnacentral:misc_RNA from 1 species
UUUUUCAAAAAAAAAAAUUGAAAUUAGUUUUUGAGGAAUUAUUUCCGGUUUUUGAAGAGCUUAAUAUAAAGUUCUUUUUGCUCACGUAAAAAAAAAAAAGUUUUUGGCGGAAUUAAAUAUUAUUUUACAAUAAGUUUAAUUUUUUACGGAUUCGAGAUGUGGAAAUAAAUUUAGUGAGUAAUUAUAUCCUAAGUCUGCGUAUAAUAGACCCAACUAAAAUCCUUAUGAUUUGAUUUAUGAGAUUUUAGUGCAUUGAGCUAUUUCUUCGGGGGAAUGUUUAGUUACUGGUUAGAGUUAUGUAUGUAUUAGAUAUGUAACGUUUAGUUAUGUAGGUGUUAGUCG